CCCACGAGUGCCAGAGCCACAAUCUGGUGCGUAGCUAUCGGCUGUUAACCGAUCGGUCGCAGGUUCGAAUCCUGCCUGUGGAGCCA
rnacentral:tRNA from 1 species